AGAGCUUUAGUUUAACUAAAAUUUCUGUGUUGCAAGCAGAGGAUGUGGUUCCCGCAAGUUCUA
rnacentral:tRNA from 1 species